rnacentral:lncRNA from 1 species
CCCUGUCUCUUGCUGCUAGACUCAUUGUUCCAUCUAAUCUUCUGAAUUCAAUACCAUUUUCAAUAAAACUCAGCUCAACCAAGUCAAGCAUACCCGUCCACUGAGAGAAUACUAUCGUCUUUAUUGGCCCCUGGUUAGGUGAAGAUGAGUGAAGAGUCGUUGGCUCUAUAAUGGUAACAUCAUCGUCAUCGUCAUGUGGCUGUGAGGAAGAAGGCAUUUGACCAUGUUCGGAAAGCGACUUCAGGAUAUCUAGGACAGCCUUGAUUUUUGAUGAACUAAACUCGCUUUUUUGAAGAGCUGAUCUAUCCUGUGAAGAACUACAUCCUGUAUCAUUGGUGAUGCAUUUUCUAAGGGAAGAUUCGGAGAAAACCACAUCACGCCCAAUGUCUUCUCUGCAUCUCCGUACAGGGCACACGUUCUCAUCCCCAGUGAUAUGUUCUGAAGCACACUGAUAGCAAAAUACAUGCCCACACAGCGUAACAACAGGGUUUUCCGGUGGAUCCUGCAGAUAAACAGGGAACUAGAGUAAAUAUUCUCAGAACUGGCCUAAGAAUUAGAGAGCAGUGAGCCUGAGGACAUGUUUUUUUCCUAGCUCUCAAUUACUCUGCACUUACAUCACAUAUAUUGCAGAUGGCAGAUGAUGACUCUAAACGAUUGAGCAGGUUGAUUCGAGCCUCCCUAGGGAGUCUUUCGACUGCUUCUUCUGAUUCUUUUCCAAGAGGAUCUGAGUUGUACCCGUUAACAAGUUGUGGGUGGUCACAAGCUUGGCGUAGACGCAAAAGCAUCAGAAGAAUAUUUCCGUAGUUUUGGCCCAAAGUUCCUGCAGCAGCAUAAGCCUGCAGAAAAUAUUAUUAAUCAUCUUAUCAGGUGUACAUGACUACAAGUACGAGUUUAUGUUGUUUCACUGGCAGAAAACAUGAUAUUCCAAGAACGCUCCUGUAAGGUCUCAUUUAUAAAAGCAUUGACUAGCUUUAUAGACGUUUCUUCUUUUCCAACAAAGUGCACAUCAAUUUCAAAGUAUGAACUAAUAAACUGUGGAGGACGAAAAGGAAAACCUUGAAUUGUGAUCGUGAAUCUGCUUCAAGCUUCUUGUAGAAAGAGCGCUCCUCCACUGAAAAGUCCACUUUGCUCAAGCUAAUUUUCUUUGGAGGUAGAUUAAUAAUGGGUUUCCCAUCAAGCAAUGUUCCUAGAUAUUAGAACAUGAGAUAUUUAGCAGAAAUCAUCAACUGCAUCCCAGCUACGUACGAAUAACAUAAUAGCAAUAUAAAAAACUACCAUCGAGUAAAAACGAUCAAAUACAUAUUAGAAAGAAAAUAACACGAUAAACUUGGGUACCUUUUGUACGGCGCAGCAUUAUAGCCUUUAGAACAGCUUGAAGCUUUUUGUAACCAUGAAGAGAACUUUUGGAAAUUGGAACCUUGAUUGUAUGGUAAAAUGACUUGUACACAGCAUACGGAUUAUAUCUAAGGAACCUGAAAUAGCUGUAUAGAUCAUCAAUCGUAUUUUGAAUUGGCGUUCCAGACAAACACCACCUCCUCUUGGCUCGAAGAGUGCAACAAGCUCUUGCCACUUGUGUUGUAUGAUUCUUAAUUGUCUGAGCUUCGUCUAGUACUACUCUGAGCCAACCAACUCUUGAUAAAGUACCACAAUCAGAGUCGAAAGAAGAACCGUCCAUGCUUUUUCUACCUCUUUUCUUACUCUUCUUACUGGCCUUCAUUGCAACCUUACGUUUCUUCUUGUUGCCAUGUUUUUGGUUAUUGUCUUCAUCGUUCUCAUCAUCGUCCAACAAGGACUGUUUGGGAGCUUCAUUGGUAACAAUGGCGUAAGUUGUGACAACCACAUCAUAUUUUGCUAACUCCACAGGAUCUUUGGUCCUAUUACCACCAUGGUAGACUAAAACAGAAAGUUUAGAUUCAUCAGAAACCUUCUCAUCAAGCUCUCUUGCCCAUUGCCUCACAAGACUCGCUGGACAAACAACUAAUGUACCAGCAGCUGGUCUCUUUCUUUUAAACUCCCUUACUGAAGUACUCACUUCUUCAUCUUUGACUUUCUCCGCAUCUGAACUGUCAUUCUCAUCACUAUCACCAACACUCAGAACCGUGGUCUCACUGUUGGUUAAAACCUUGAGCUCUGUUUUUGCGUGACUUUCGCUCUCAUGUUUUGCAUUUUCUGACUCAUCAUAAGCAUCCAGAUCCAAUAUUUCAGCUUCUUCCUUAAUAGACAGAACCGUGGUCUCACUGUUCCUUGAAUUGAGCUCUGGUUUUGCAUGACUUUUACUUUCAUGCUUUGCAUUUUCUAACUCAUCAUCAGCAUCCAGGUCCAAUAUUUCAGCUUCUCCCUUGGUUGAGAUUUCAGACUUCAGUUGUGACUCAAACUUUUGCUUCAGGAUAAGAGCAAUCAUCGAAACUGUCUUACCAAGUCCCUACAAAAAUAGACCUUACAUAGUUUGAGGGGAAUAUCCACGUAACAAAAUCACAGAUAUUAACUUGGGAAGAAAUUUAAGAAUAUGUGACCUGAUCAUCUGCUAAUAUCCCUCCCGAACAGUGCAAACUAGUUGUUUCCUUCUGAAACAUCCACGCCAAUGCAAUUUUCUGAAAGCAACAGUAUUUUCAGUACACUGUACACAAACCAAUUUCAACGGCCAAUAAAUGGUAACAUUGAAACAUGACAAUACCUGAUGCCUCAUAAGAGGAACUGAAAGAAUACCAGGAGGUAGAUCAAUCUCGGUCUUGGGUUGAUUCAAAUCCUGCAGGAUUAACAUACUCUUUUAUUAAAAAUUGCACUUAAUAUACCAUUAAAUAUCAGGUUGACUAUGGAAACAACACAACACAGAGGCUCUCAACAUAUUUACAAUGCACCUGGGUAAAAUCGAAAAUGAAUGCUCCUCAUAAACACAAUUAUCUAAAAUAUCAUUUUUCAGAUGAAGAAAAAUAAAGCAGCUUAUUGCAUAACUAGGAUACUCGGUCUAAAAUGAGUAGAUUCAGCAUGGUAAUAUAAUAUGACUCCAGCAUCAAUGAGAAACCAUAUAAAACGAACAAUGCACCAUAAAUCUCUGAAAAAUAUUUAACCAAAAGAAAGGAGCCAAGUUUGGAGCUAUUCAUUGCUCGAUAUUCACUAUCGCAAUCAUACUAGGUGACUAAAGCGACACAAGACAUGCAAACAGAGAAGAACAGCCAAGUGUUGAAGGCUAUACAUAAGAGAAGAUUGAGUUACCUGUAGCGCAGCCUGAUAGAUCAACCUCUCAUCGUUCUCAGAAUUCAUAUCUUCACCAACGCCAACCCUGUGAAUUGGAUCGCUUGGACCACCAUAAUGUAACGGAGAGGAUGCAGAUGUUCCAAUGGUCAUAGACGGAGGGAGGAUCCUAACCCCAUUCAUGCCACGGUGAAUUCCUAUCUCAGAAUGAGCUCCACGGUGACGAUCACCAAACGCACUCUUGUUGCUUACAGCAGAACUACUACUAUAGUCCGCACCAAAGCGACCCGCGUUGCCAUGGCUUACACCGUUGGAAGCACUUCUUGGAGGAAUAGGAGUCGUAUUAAAAGAUGGCGGAAGGGUUCUUUUCAGAGGUUGUUGAGAAGAAACAAUUGAAGUCCUCGAGUUAACGAUGCUCUUGUCAUUCCCUCUAGUAGUAGUUCUAGAGCUGUCUCUUGGCCGAGAUGCAUAACGUGGAGCACCAUAGCGAGAAGCUGGAUUUGGAGGUCUAGGUGUAGGUUGAGUAUUAGCAGCAGAGGAACCCUUUUGAGGAAAACUAGUGCUGCCUGAAAAAAAGUAGCAAUGUGAUUUGAUAACUCCAUAAAGCUAAACCUCACGGAGAGAGAUAAAGAGUAAACCAUCUAGCCAAGGGGGAUUCUUCCUGGUUCUAACUUCUUCUUUAAUGGGCUCUUCUGAUACCUCCUCUUCAUCACUACUACUAAUACUACUACUGCCUGAACUGAUUUCAAUAGCGGAUUCCAUCAUGGGAUCUCCUUCUUCUGCAUUUAUUUGUUCCAAGACAUUCUAUGAAUGCAUCUCCCACAUAUGACAAAGAGUUUUCGCCAUUUUCUCAUCACAUAUACCUUCCUCUAAAACCAAAGACAAGCGUAGACAUCAAACGGGAACAUAGCAGCAAGUCAAAGGCGUACCUAGGAUGGUGGAGUCAAUCACUACGACCUGAUUAGAGGAACCAAUCCUCAUCUGCUUCAAACAAAGCACUAUAUAGGAACAAGAUAUGUACAUACAGAGGUUCUGUCACCAUCUACAUAGCUCAAGAGGUAAGCACAACGCAUAGAUGCAUACAACAAGUUCCAAAACAGACUCAGAACCUGCAAGCUAUAAAGAUUGCUUGGAAUGACCAGCCAAGAAUACAUAAGAAAUGUCACUGUAAGAAAAAAAAAUGAUUAGCUGCCCAAAGGUAUCAAAUAUACAGCAGUAGAUCCUUGAGAUUUACCGUUAAACUCUUACACAUGAUACAUACCAUGAAACGAUUUAGUUAUUUACAUAUGGCAUAAUUCCAAUCAAUGAAAUUCCGCGCACACAAAAAACCUAGACUGGCUCCAAAGCCUCACAAAACCAAACACGAAAUCCUAGGAGAGGCAGAGUCUUGAAGUUAUAUUACAUAAGCAGGUAGAGGUUUCUUCCUGAUCAAAAAAAGCUCUGUGCAUAAUCUCCCAUAAUAAAUACUAUGCAACCUAAUUCAAGCAACGAUUAGAAGGCUACACGUAGAGCAUACAAUGAGUGGUCUACACCAUAAAAAGAUACUUGAGAUCGUCAACUGUCAGUCGAGUGGCAGAGCUUCCACCAUGCUCUUCACCAUACGCAGAUGCAACAAUCUUCCUUUUCUCUUCCUGAUGAAAUAAAAAAUUGAAAAUGAUAGUGCUGAAUCACUGUAACCAAGUCAGAGCGAGCUGAAAUAUUGCGUAGAAUACCUGAAGUAACAAAAUUCUAUCCUCCACGGUGCCUUUUAUAGUGAUGCGAGUUACACUAACUGGCCGAGUUUGUCCAAUACGAUGUGCACGAUCAAUAGCUUGAUCUUCGGUUGUUGGAUUCCACCAAAGAUCCAGAAGAAUAACAUGACAUGCAUUUACCAUAUUCAACCCAAGGUUUCCAGCUUUUAGCGACAUCAGCAUCACCUCUACCUGUUAAUAGAGAAAGCUUUAGGAUCGAUACUCCAUGAUUCAGAGAAAUGACUAGUUAAAGUAUUUUGGAAAAUAUAUCUAAGAUAUUCAUAUCACUCACAUCUGGAUCAUUGCUGAAUUCUUUUACAGCCCUGUCUCUUGCUGCUAGACUCAUUGUUCCAUCUAAUCUUCUGAAUUCAAUACCAUUUUCAAUAAAACUCAGCUCAACCAAGUCAAGCAUACCCGUCCACUGAGAGAAUACUAUCGUCUUUAUUGGCCCCUGGUUAGGUGAAGAUGAGUGAAGAGUCGUUGGCUCUAUAAUGGUAACAUCAUCGUCAUCGUCAUGUGGCUGUGAGGAAGAAGGCAUUUGACCAUGUUCGGAAAGCGACUUCAGGAUAUCUAGGACAGCCUUGAUUUUUGAUGAACUAAA